rnacentral:lncRNA from 1 species
AAGGAGUGCUCGAGCUGCCCGAAGGAGUGGAUACUUCCCGAUCGAAGAUCGGAGUACCAGGCCCUGGCAGCUUUGCGCAGCGUGGCGGGGAAGCCAACGCAAAGGAGAGCGUCGGUUGCCCCUUGGAUCAUCAUGAGAGCUUUGUAGCUCUCCAGGUGGUCGAUGGGGUCGGUGGAGCCGUCAUAAGGCUCCACGUGCGGCAUCUUGAACCGACUGGGGAUCGGCUCGUCGAGGAUGAGUCG